rnacentral:rRNA from 1 species
UACGGAGGGUGCAAGCGUUAUCCGGAUUCACUGGGUUUAAAGGGUGCGUAGGUGGGCAGGUAAGUCAGUGGUGAAAUCCUGUAGCUUAACUACAGAACUGCCAUUGAUACUAUUUGUCUUGAAUACCCUGGAGGUGGGCGGAAUAUGUCAUGUAGCGGUGAAAUGCUUAGAUAUGACAUAGAACAUCUAUUGCGAAGGCAGCUCACUACGGGAAUAUUGACGCUGAGGCACGAAAGCGUGGGGAUCAAACAGG